AUUGCCGAGCAAUUUCCGUUCGCUGUGAGGAAACGAGCUGGUCGGCGGGUGAGAGCAGAUUAGCUUCGCAGACAACGCAAGUUGAUACAUGAACUGUGUCGACCAGAUUGCUAAGAGCAUGACAUAAGCAUCAUAGAUCGAAAAUGGCAAUAAGAGAAUUAAAAAUCUGCCUCCUUGGGGAUACAGGGGUUGGGAAGUCGAGUAUAGUGUGUCGAUUCGUCCAAGACACCUUCGAUGUUAAUACUCUGCCUACAAUUGGUGCAUCCUUCAUGACUAAGACUGUGAGCUGUGGAAACGAGCUCCAUAAGUUUUUGAUUUGGGAUACAGCUGGACAAGAGCGGUUCCAUUCGCUGGCUCCAAUGUAUUACCGUGGAUCGGCUGCAGCUGUUAUAGUUUACGACAUCACCAAUGAGGAAUCAUUCUACACUUUGAAGAAAUGGGUAAAGGAACUGAAGGAACAUGGACCUGAGGACAUUGUGGUUGCGAUUGCUGGAAACAAGUGUGACCUAGCUGACAUGAGAGAGGUCACAGUGAAGGACGCCCUAGAAUAUGUUAAGUUCAUAAACGCGAUUUUUGUUGAAACAAGUGCAAAGAAUGCCAUUAAUGUUGCUGAGCUGUUUGAAAGAAUCAACACUUCUUCCUCAAAUUCGGAAUGACCUUCUACAUCGUCAUCACUGUAUGGGCCUGACCUUUGUCUCCUCAUCACACUUUCUCCAAUCCUAGGAAAAAUUACUGGUCAGCAAAUUCCACCUCUGGAUCCCUCUCAGAUCAACAACAAUGGAGCUUUCAAAGUUGGAAGGCACACGGUGCAAUCAAGUAAGCGUUGCUGCUGAGUUUUGCUGGAGAUCAAGGCCAAGCAGUAUUAAAUCAUCAUCCUCAUACCAAGUAGCAGAAUGGGGAAGAAAGAAAAAACAAAACUUUUUUUUUGUGUUAUUGUUUGAAUUACUUAAUAGUCUCAAGGUUAUCUCUCAGUUGUUGGAUUGCUGGCUCUUUUCAUUCUAACACACUGCUAUUCCACUUUCAUGAAAUUCAUUAGAGUAGGGAGUUCCACAGAGAGUCGAUUCACUAUGAAUGCAAACAUUAAAGUACUGGUUAUUAUUUUUGUUCAGCCUCUUUCGUCCUUAGAUCUUUUUGGCCUUUAUUUUUCCUUUAUGAACGACACAGUGAUUGAUUUUUUUAAACCACUUUUCAAAUAUCCAGAAGUAAAUUAUGUUUUUGCUUGCUGUAACAAGUUCUCUGCCUGGCCCAAAGCUCUAAAGAGAAAUGCUUUAUCUGUAAGUUAGACCCUUUGAUAAAUACCACAUUCAUCAAUUUCUAACUGAUUGGAAAGGAUUGAACUAAUUUCCAAAGACCUGUGGAACACUGUAGAAGGCAGAAACUGAUUGCAGUGUUCCUUUCAUGUUCCACAUUUUAAAAUGUGUUAUGUGCAUGGUUAUAUGAAAGUUAAACUUUAUAAUAAUCCCAGGGGAUUACUUAUGGAAAAAAAAAUUGUUAAUGGCAAUGGACAAUGAAGUCCAGAAUGAUCCAAAAACAGGACGGGUAUUUACUGCUAUCUGAUUUCAACCAGGUAGUGAGCAGGCAUACUGACCUUUGCAGCCAACUGAAGAAAUGUGUCAGGAUGUUUACUUCUCAUUCGUGACUGAUUCCUGUUCAUGGAAUAAAGGAAAGCCAUGUCCUUUCUGCUGGUUGUAGGUAUAAAUAAGUUACUAUAUUCACUGAUUAUGCCCAGAAAUGACUAGUUAAUUCCUGUUAAGGAUCAAUGAGUGCAGGAGAGAGGUUGGGUAGAUGGAAUAUAAUGUUAAUGAAAAGAGUCUUUAUACAAAUGUGUGAAAUUACCAGGUCUUAAUUAACAAUACAAUUGAAAGAACUAGAAUAGUUUGGGUUUAAAAUAAUCUUUAUGUAAACAUGGCACACUCUAAUGCCAAAGAGUUAAGAUUAAAAUUUUCACCUGUUUAAUUUACAUAAUGUAGCUAAAGCAAUAACUGUAUGUAUACAAGCAUUAUGUAUACUGCUUUUCCAAUUCAUGCUCCGACCAGCCAGUCUUUAUAUUUGUACUUCCACUUUCAUCAUGAGGCAUUAUUAUGGACCAGUGGAGUCUUUCUGCUGAUUUUGUUCCAACUUGUGUUUAAUCAUGAAGAUGCUAUGUGCUGUGGACAUGUAUUUAAAACUGGAUGAAACUUUGGAAUAGUUAUGUAAGCUUGUUUUUUUUUGCAUCAUUCUUCCUUGAUCUAUUAAUUUCAUUAACAAAUUUUAUUCACCUAGCAGUUUGUAAAUCAUUGUGUACAAUAUACAACCAGUAUUUACUCUAAGGUGCAAAAACUCUCCUCCCUUUUCUUUGCAAAUUCCAUCAGCUUUUGCUAACCAGGCUAAUGCAAUUCAGAGAUUGAAAAAUUGCAAUACCACCUACAGAAUAUCUGAUCACUGGGAGCCAUUGUGGAACAAUUUUACCAAAUAUACUUCAUUAAUGAACUGCACAAAGCCUGAACCAGGAAAUGCACAUUAGAAUUUGUUAAUGUUUUAAUAUUAAAAUAAAGAAGGGAAAGAGGGAAAUGAUAGAAAAAAAUAAAGCCAUCAAUAUACUUACAAUUUUUAACAAAAGAAUGUAAUAAUUUACUACUCUUACAAAAAUGUUUCAAUGACUUCAAGAAAUUGUUUGGCAGUAAUAACUGCCAUUAAGUGGGAUAUUUAGACCAAAAUUGGACAACACUUAGUAUUUUUAAGAUGAAUUUAUGUCCAUGUUUCAAUGAUAAAUAUUUCAUGCUAUUCAUUUUUGAAUAAGGUGUCUUAUGGCAAUUGUAACUUCAGUGCAGAUUAUUAAGUAAUACUGCACCUCAGCCAACAACUUAAGAUUUUUGCACAUAUGUAAAGUAGUCCUUCAUUUUAUACUAAAUAACAAAAAGCAUUAUGAACAUCAUAGUUGUUUGUACAGUAAAUUAUGGCCAAGUAUUUUUGAUACCCUUACAUCUCCGAUAUUUCCCAACUAUACCUCUAUCCCUUUCUUUAAAAAGAUUAAUCAACACAACCAAUCGGCAAUUGGUUACGAUACAUGUAACAUGUUACAUUAAUUGUGUUACUUAGUUUCAGUGCAUCCCGGAAUCAGUGGUCUACUGUAGAGGGGCCAUUUAACCCAUCAUGUCCAAGCCAAACUGGUGAACUACAUAUACCUGUCUGGACACGCCCCCUGAUGACUGCUGCUGUGGCUCCUCCCACAGACCCCUGUAUAAAGGUGAUGGAGGUCUGAGCCCGGCCUCUCUGUCUCCAGGAUGUAGUGUAGUGGUCAAUCACUGCUUGUUCCUUCUUCCAGUCAAUAAAAGCCGAUACCUCACUUUUACAUCUCAGAGUGAGUUAUUGAUGGUGCAUCACAAACAUAAACAAGCCAUUUGGGAUUAUCCCUGUUCUGUAGCUUCACAUUGUAGUUACUCAUCCAGUUCAGUGUGACGAAGAUUUCUGUCUUUAUCGUUCUUUCAGAAAAUAAACUCUACGUUCCUACCACCCUCUGAAUGAAAACCAAAUUACAUUUUCCCCUCUCAGCCUCCUACAAAUUAACAUCUCGGUCCCUUCAUGUUGCACUCUUUCCUAAGGGACUAGAUUAAUUUUUCUGCUUGCUGUCAUCGUGCAUAGGAUGGUUAAUUUACCUUGGCCUUGUGCAUCUUUUAAGGCUCUGUCAAAUUAUGACAAGCACAUUUUUAACUUCUGCUUUCAUUAUGUUGAACAAGCUUCAGGAUAAGAGAUGGGUGAGUGAGGAUUCUGGGAAAGACUUCUGUUGUUGUCCAUUAGCAACUGAAGAGCUGUAGAACAGUUAUUCUUAUUCCUGACUGGGAAUUCACCUAGGAAGAAAUCUUCGUACUCCCCACAGUGGCACAACAGGAAUGUUCCAAUGCUUCUGCAUUGCCUGCAGAAACCAGAAAGGUGAACAGCAGAUUGCUAAAAUAAACUAAUUAAGUUUCAUAGUUAUUCAAAAACCUUGACAUGACUCAUUCAACAUUAAUGCAAAUCAAAUUAUUUGUUUAGUAUAAACUUGAUGUCUGUAGGUGCUUCCUGGAUGCAAAUUGGUUGCCUCAUUUCCUAAAUUACAACAAUGAUUGCAAAGAUAUUUCAAGGGCAGUAAAGUGAUUUUUUUUCUGAGGCACUUUUGUUGUGCAAUUAUUGAACAUCUGCUGCCAUUGAUUUCUUUAAUUAUCCUGGUUUAAUAAACACAUAAUCAUUUAUCACAUAGGGUUUGAGAAUGAUUAUUGAAUUAUUUCAUUUUAUGAUGUCUGGUGUAACUUUCUGUAUAAAAAUGUCCCAACUAGAUUUUGGUUUUGAUGUAAUCGUAAUUAUAUAAAUACUGCAAAUGAAUCCAUAUCGUUCACAUGACUUUGGAAGUUGUAGCUACCAUUGUAAAGGAAAAUCUUUAUAGCAAUGUUGUGAUUUAUGGAUGUAUUUUAACAUGAAUCUACAUCAGUAGGAACAGCAUUGAUUUGAUGAAUUGACACCAUGGCAACAGUUUGGAUAUUUUGUCUUUCAAGUGCAUCUCAUUUUAGUGCCAAGUAUAUUUUAAUAUUUUUAGAUUGGGCUGGCCCCAUGUAGAACAAGCCAACUGAAUGGGUACAAUGUCUGUUAUGCUCUCCACUAAUACUGUAUAGUGUGACUAUAAGUAUAGUGAUGUGGCUUAAGAAAUAAUGCCUUUUUCACAAAGUAAGCAGUUUCAAUGUACCUUUUAAUAAACAUUAUUUCAUAACAAUCUAAAGU